CUGCAGGUCGGGAGUGAGGGGCACCGCGGGGGCUGUGGGUCAGGGUUGGGGUGCACCAGCCGAGCCGGGGGGGACUGUAGGUCGGGAGUGAGGGGCACCGGGGGGCUGUGGGUUGGGAGUGAGGGGCACCGCGGGGGCUGUGGGUCAGGGUUGGGGUGCACCGGCCGGGCCGGGGGGGG